rnacentral:rRNA from 1 species
GACGAACGCUGGCGGCGCGCCUAACACAUGCAAGUCGAACGAGCGAGAGAGAGCUUGCUUUCUCGAGCGAGUGGCGAACGGGUGAGUAACGCGUGAGGAACCUGCCUCAAAGAGGGGGACAACAGUUGGAAACGACUGCUAAUACCGCAUAAGCCCACAGCUCGGCAUCGAGCAGAGGGAAAAGGAGCAAUCCGCUUUGAGAUGGCCUCGCGUCCGAUUAGCUAGUUGGUGAGGUAACGGCCCACCAAGGCGACGAUCGGUAGCCGGACUGAGAGGUUGAACGGCCACAUUGGGACUGAGACACGGCCCAGACUCCUACGGGAGGCAGCAGUGGGGAAUAUUGCACAAUGGGGGAAACCCUGAUGCAGCGACGCCGCGUGGAGGAAGAAGGUCUUCGGAUUGUAAACUCCUGUUGUUGAGGAAGAUAAUGACGGUACUCAACAAGGAAGUGACGGCUAACUACGUGCCAGCAGCCGCGGUAAAACGUAGGUCACAAGCGUUGUCCGGAAUUACUGGGUGUAAAGGGAGCGCAGGCGGGAAGACAAGUUGGAAGUGAAAUCCAUGGGCUCAACCCAUGAACUGCUUUCAAAACUGUUUUUCUUGAGUAGUGCAGAGGUAGGCGGAAUUCCCGGUGUAGCGGUGGAAUGCGUAGAUAUCGGGAGGAACACCAGUGGCGAAGGCGGCCUACUGGGCACCAACUGACGCUGAGGCUCGAAAGUGUGGGUAGCAAACAGGAUUAGAUACCCUGGUAGUCCACACUGUAAACGAUGAUUACUAGGUGUUGGAGGAUUGACCCCUUCAGUGCCGCAGUUAACACAAUAAGUAAUCCACCUGGGGAGUACGACCGCAAGGUUGAAACUCAAAGGAAUUGACGGGGGCCCGCACAAGCAGUGGAGUAUGUGGUUUAAUUCGACGCAACGCGAAGAACCUUACCAAGUCUUGACAUCCUGCGAUGGUGCUGGAAACAGUACUUUCCUUCGGGACGCAGAGACAGGUGGUGCAUGGUUGUCGUCAGCUCGUGUCGUGAGAUGUUGGGUUAAGUCCCGCAACGAGCGCAACCCUUAUGGUCAGUUACUACGCAAGAGGACUCUGGCCAGACUGCCGUUGACAAAACGGAGGAAGGUGGGGAUGACGUCAAAUCAUCAUGCCCUUUAUGACUUGGGCUACACACGUACUACAAUGGCGUUAAACAAAGAGAAGCAAGACCGCGAGGUGGAGCAAAACUCAGAAACAACGUCCCAGUUCGGACUGCAGGCUGCAAACUCGCCUGCACGAAGUCGGAAUUGCUAGUAAUCGCAGAUCAGCAUGCUGCGGUGAAUACGUUCCCGGGCCU